UUGCUUCAACAGCACAUAUCCUAAAAUUUGGAAUAAUACAAAUUGAGAUUAGCUUGGUUUCUGCACUAGGAUUUCACAUAAAUUUGUGAAGCAUUCCAUAUUUUA